rnacentral:rRNA from 1 species
UGGGGAAUUUUGGACAAUGGGCGAAAGCCUGAUCCAGCAAUGCCGCGUGUGUGAAGAAGGCCUUCGGGUUGUAAAGCACUUUUGUCCGGAAAGAAAUCCUUGGCUCUAAUACAGUCGGGGGAUGACGGUACCGGAAGAAUAAGCACCGGCUAACUACGUGCCAGCAGCCGCGGUAAUACGUAGGGUGCAAGCGUUAAUCGGAAUUACUGGGCGUAAAGCGUGCGCAGGCGGUUUGCUAAGACCGAUGUGAAAUCCCCGGGCUCAACCUGGGAACUGCAUUGGUGACUGGCAGGCUAGAGUAUGGCAGAGGGGGGUAGAAUUCCACGUGUAGCAGUGAAAUGCGUAGAGAUGUGGAGGAAUACCGAUGGCGAAGGCAGCCCCCUGGGCCAAUACUGACGCUCAUGCACGAAAGCGUGGGGGAGCAAAACAGGAUUAGAUACCCUGGUAGUCCACGCCCUAAAACGAUGUCAACUAGUUGUUGGGGGAUUCAUUUCCUUAGUAACGUAGCUAACGCGUGAAGUUGACCGCCU